rnacentral:lncRNA from 10 species
UUUUGUUUUGUUUUGUUUUUUGACAGGGUCUUGCUCUGUCACCCAGGCUGGAGUGCAGUGGUGCCAUCUCAGCUCACUGUAACCUCUGCCUCCUGGGUUCAAGUAAUUCUCCUGUCUCAGCCUCCUGAGUAGCUGAGACAGGCAAGAGAAUUGCUUGGGCACGGGAGGCGGAGGCUGCAGUGAGCUGAGAUCACGCCACUGUACUCCAGCAUGGGCAACAGAGCAAGACUCCAUCUCAAAAAUAAAUAAAUAAAUAAAAGCGUAAUAGGCUCCAAAACUGUUCCAAAUUACUCCUAGGCUUUUUCCCCCUAAAAAUUAUGUGCAUUAGGAGAAAAUGGGAGGAAAAAUGAAAUUUCUCUAUCUUUUCUCAUUGAUGAAAGGUUAGAGAUUGUGUUGUUGUAAAAUACCCUUUUGCUCUGGGCCCCAAGCCAAAAAUAAAGGGAGGAAACCAGGCAAUUAGAUGUUUGAUUUGAUGAAAACUUUUCCUUAAAAAGGCGAAGAAUUUCUGUUACAUGAUUUUAUACAAGAUUAUGACAAAGGCAUUUUCAAAGAAAACAUUUCUAUCUAAUUAAAAUCCAUUGAUCACACAUGCUCCUAUUAGGUUAAGGAUAACUCCUUGGCCUUCCUCCCUCAAGAGCUUUCUGGAUUUCUUCAGUAAUUACAUUAAAAAGAAUCGAAGAAGCCCAGGCGUGGUGGCUCACGCCUGUAAUGCCAGCACUUUGGGAGGCCGAGGUGGGCAGAUCACAAGGUAAGGAGAUCGAGACCAUCCUGGCUAACAUGGUGAAACCCCG